rnacentral:rRNA from 1 species
GAUGAACGCUGGCGGCGUGCCUAAUACAUGCAAGUCGAGCGAACAGACGAGGAGCUUGCUCCUCUGACGUUAGCGGCGGACGGGUGAGUAACACGUGGAUCACCUACCUAUAAGACUGGGAUAACUUCGGGAAACCGGAGCUAAUACCGGAUAAUAUAUUGAACCGCAUGGAUCAAUAGUGAAAGACGGUUUUGCUGUCACUUAUAGAUGGAUCCGCGCCGCAUUAGCUAGUUGGUAAGGUAACGGCUUACCAAGGCAACGAUGCGUAGCCGACCUGAGAGGGUGAUCGGCCACACUGGAACUGAGACACGGUCCAGACUCCUACGGGAGGCAGCAGUAGGGAAUCUUCCGCAAUGGGCGAAAGCCUGACGGAGCAACGCCGCGUGAGUGAUGAAGGUCUUCGGAUCGUAAAACUCUGUUAUUAGGGAAGAACAAAUGUGUAAGUAACUAUGCACGUCUUGACGGUACCUAAUCAGAAAGCCACGGCUAACUACGUG